rnacentral:rRNA from 1 species
GAACGCUAGCUACAGGCUUAACACAUGCAAGUCGAGGGGCAGCAUGGAGUUGCUGCAAACUCUGAUGGCGACCGGCGCACGGGUGAGUAACGCGUAUCCAACCUUCCCUAUAGUAGAGGAUAGCCCGGCGAAAGUCGGAUUAAUACUCUAUGUUUCCGUUGCAGACAUCUAAGAUGGAACAAAGGCUUGCCGCUAUAGGAUGGGGAUGCGUCUGAUUAGGUAGUCGGCGGGGUAACGGCCCACCGAGCCAUCGAUCAGUAGGGGUUCUGAGAGGAAGGUCCCCCACAUUGGAACUGAGACACGGUCCAAACUCCUACGGGAGGCAGCAGUGAGGAAUAUUGGUCAAUGGGCGAGAGCCUGAACCAGCCAAGUAGCGUGCAGGAUGACGGCCCUAUGGGUUAGUAAACUGCUUUUAUGGCGGGGAUAAAGUUCACUACGUGUAGUGUUUUGUAGGUACCGCAUGAAUAAGGACCGGCUAAUUCCGUGCCAGCCGCAGC